CCACCCACUCCAGACACAGAGCAUCCAGUCAUGGAUAAAAAUGAGCUGGUUCAGAAGGCCAAACUGGCUGAGCAGGCUGAGCGAUAUGAUGACAUGGCAGCCUGCAUGAAGUCUGUAACUGAGCAAGGAGCUGAAUUAUCCUACAAGGAGAGGAAUCUUCUCUCAGUUGUUUAUAAGAAUGUUGUAGGAGCCUGCAGGUCAUCUUGGAGGGUCGUCUCAAGUAUUGAGCAAAAGACGGAAGGUGCCGAGAAAAAACAGCAGAUGGCUCGAGAAAAUAGAGACCGAGCUAAGAGAUAUCUGCAAUGAUGUACUGUCCCUUUUGGAAAAGUUCUUGAUUCCCAAUGCUUCACAAGCAGAGAGCGAAGUCUUCUAUUUGAAAAUGAAAGGAGACUACUACCGUUACUUGGCUGAGGUUGCUGCUGGUGAUGAUAAGAAAGGAAUUGUGGAUCAGUCACAACAGGCAUACCAAGAAGCUUUUGAAAUCAGUAAAAAGGAAAUGCAGCCAACACAUCCUAUCAGAUUGGGCCUGGCCCUUAACUUCUCUGUCUUCUAGUAUGAGAUUCUGAACUCCCCAGAGAAAGCCUGCUCUCUUGCAAAGACAACUUUUGAUGAAGCAUUGCUGAACUUGAUACAUUAUGUGAAGAGUCAUACAAAGACAGCACGCUAAUAAUGCAAUUGCUGAGAGACCACUUGACAUUGUGGACACCAGAUGAAGCUGAAGCAGGAGAAGGAGGGGGAAAAGUAACCAGCCUUCCAACUUUCAUCUGCCUCAUUCUAAAAUUUACACAGGAGACCAUUUUGUUAUCCAUGCUGUCCCACAAAUAG